UUAGUGCAACUCUGAUUUUGUGUAUGUUACUAGUUCGCGCCACAUUUUGUUGUUUUUGUGUGCUGUGGUUCUUAACUAUAAUACACACACACAAAACUCGUUGACAGAUUGUGCACUUCAGCUGUUUACGGUACACUACCUGUUAGUUAUUUCAUGCUUGUGAUCCGGCCGCUAAAUGUAUCCGGUUUGCUCACUUUUCAUUUGACGACAGCUAUGAACAACACCUAAUCGAAAACGCUGCCGGUGUGCACAGGAAAACAGUCAAAUUAAAAAAAUUAUAAGUCCCAUGCAACAAAACGAAAAUGUCGAUAUGUGGGACUUAAAAAUCGUAUAUUAAAACUUCCCACCAAGGAUAGCUACGAAAUAAAGGGGUGAAUGGCUUUCCUCAAUGACCAUCAAAUUUGGUCAAACCAUGGAGUGAAAGGAGACACACUGGAAUCCGGCAUAAUGGUGUUUCGUUCUCCAUUCACACGGAAGGGAACAUUGAAAAAAUUAACAUACUACCAAGGUUGUUCAAUCGAAAAGAAAACGAACUUGAGUCUAAAUAUGUGGAAUUAUCAUUACUAUACUAAGUGUUUUUCACUUUAUAACAACACAACCUAAAAUUGAUGCCUUAGACAAAUGAGCAUUUGUUGGCAUGGUAAGGCAAUGCUGUUCGGGCAGGUAAUGGUAGAACCAAUUAUCUGUUGGAAUAUUCACCGUUUUUUAGCACUCCAAAUGUUGGCAUGGCUUACUAAGCAGAAAAAAUCCACCUGUGACAUUUAGUCAUUAAUUGGACAGCAAAACAUUUUCAGAAAACAGGUACAUGGCUUUGGUAUUGUUGAAGUGUCCACAACAAUUGGUGUGGCAUUACUAGAGGAUUCCUCCGGUCAAAGACUCGUCUGACAUGUAUCGUCAUCUCAAGAUGGAUUCUGGGCAAUAAAAUCUCUUUUCAUCACCUGAUAGUCAAUAAUUGCAGCACCAUGUCCUAUCCAAAAAGUAUGGUGAUUUGUGACAAUUUUUAAAGGGUUGGAACAAAGACAAACGGCCUCCCAGGCUGUUGCACAGCCACACAACAUAUGGACAUACUUUUAUUGGAUGAAAGGCAUGUUGUCAAAAUAUGCCUACAUCAUUUACCUGGCCUGGUAGUGAAUUGGAGAUAUGUACGCAGACUAUUUGUUCUUGGAAAGUUUCGUGUCAUCAUAAAAAGACAACAGUACUAGGGUUUGAUUUGACCAACGGCUCUCGCGCAUUUAUAUAACGAUUUGUCAGUCGAUGGACAAUUUAUGGUUUUAGAAAAACUGCCUCUACAUCACCACGUAUCAGAUGGCUCUCUGGGCACUACGGCUCAAUCGGGUUCUCCCAGCAAUUUGGACGGUAUUUUGGCAUAAACUUUUUGGCAUUAAACAAAUUUUGGCUGACUUCCCCCAGGCCAAUACUUUGAGGCGUCAGUAUUUUCUUCGUUUUGGUUGCGGUUAGUUUUCAAUUUGGAGAUAUAUUGUUUUGCACGCACCAAAAUAUAUGUAUAUGUAACACACAAUCAAACGCAAUCAACAAAAUAAACGUUUUGUUUAGGACUGAUAUAAAUUUUAAA